rfam:Devosia sp. 66-22 SCNpilot_expt_1000_bf_scaffold_333, whole genome shotgun sequence.
CCAGUCGGCCGGAUGGCCGCGCGCAAGCGAGGAAAGUCCGGGCUCCAUCGAAAUACGGUGACGGCUAACAGCCGCCGGGGGCGACCCCAGGGAAAGUGCAACAGAGAGCAGACCGCCCGUCUUUGACGGGUAAGGGUGAAAGGGUGCGGUAAGAGCGCACCGCGGCUCCGGCAACGGCGCCGGCAUUGCAAACCCCACCGGGAGCAAGACCAAAUAGGGGUGACGUGGCGCAAGCCAGGCCGGUUUUCGAGGCCAGUCGCCCGGGUUGGUUGCUCAAGGUCCGUGGCAACACGGCUCUCAGAGGAAUGGCCAUCACGUCGGCGCAAGCCGGCCCUACAGAACCCGGCUUACAGGCCGACUGGCGCC